CUUCAACUGGUAGUAGUGUAUCUGUUGAAUGGAUACUGUGGGCCUACUGGAAGGAUGUAUGCCCAUUUCUUAAUUGCAACAAUAUUCAGUCCAAUAAUUUCCAGGUUGUAUUAGCUUUUCAAAGUACUGCCACGUAUGCUGUGUUUAUAUACAAGUAUGAACUCAUACAAUGGACAAGAUAUCGAGCAGUUAUUGGUAUUAAUAGUGGUGAUGGGUACUAUAUCAAUCAUCCAUUAUCUAAUAUUGAUGGUGUUACUGAUAUAGAUUGCUAUGAUGUAGUAUCAGGAUGGAGUAACUUUGUAUACAGACUAGAUCAAGCAAUAGAUAAGUUUGAAUUCCUAUCCAUUACAUCUCACGGUAUUACAGUAUCAUGGGAACUGAUGUGAAUUAGAGCAAGAGUAGAUAAUGUAAAUUAUCUACUCUUGAUUACAAGACGUGAGAUAACUUAAUAGUUAGAUGUUUAUGAGCAACUUAAAGGAUUAUAACAUUGUGUCUUGGUUUGUAAUACAAA